AUGCUCGCUGUCGACGCGCGCCUCGGAGCCGCGGCCGGUCUGUCAGCCGCCCGGGGGAGAGGGGUCGGCGGAAGCGCCGAAGCGAGGGGGCGGGGAAGGCCGCGCCGCGAGCUGCAGCCGCCGCCGCCGCCGCCGCCGCCGGAUCCCACGCAGCCUCCAGCUGUCGGGGAAACUCCUGCCCGCGCGCACGUGACCCGCGCCGCCCAACCAGCGGCCGCGCCGGAGACUUCAAACGCGGGGAGCGCGGCCCAGCACCCGGGACGAGUUCGAGGGCGCCGCCUCCCCGCCUCCCGCCCGGAGCUUCCCAGGCCCCGGAAUCCCGGAGGGACGCGCGCUGGCAGGCGCUGGCAGAGGCCGGUGCGCUCGGGCACGCGGCUCCCCUCGCCCCCGCGCGCCGCGGGGACUGUCACCCUUCGUUUGGAGAAGCCAGACGGAAGCUCAAGGAAAGUCAACAGUUCCUUGUCCAACACUGGGUGACCUGAACUGAGCUCUUUGCUAAGGAGACCCUUGUCUGGAUCCUCAGCAUCCUGAAUUUGGAGAGGCCCCAGGGCACCUGUGGAGGCUGGAUGACGGCUCAUAUGGGUGGGUCCUCUCCUCCUUAUGUACUGUGUGGACCCUCGGGGUCAAACUCAGGUUAUCAUGCUUGCCAACUCUACUUUCCCUGUGGAGCCAUCUAUCCAGAACCCUCUAAGUUUAUGAAGCUGGGUCUCAUUUCGUAGCCCAGUGAUGUCUCAAAUUUGUAAUCCUCCAGCCUCAGGCUUCUGAAUACAGGUUUUUUUUUUUUUUGGAGGUUCAUGCCACUAACCACAGCUUGUAUCUUAGUUUCUAUUUGAAUCAAGGGCAUGGCUCAAAUAUCACUGCUGAGGACAGCUGCUUAAACUAUAGGUCCCAACAAAUCCUGUAAUUGUAAUGAUUUGGGGGGAAAGUUAAAUUGUAAUCUUUAUAAAUGUGUGUUUUGUUUUUUAAUGUUUUAAAAUAAGGCCUCACAACUUGGGGAGGCCUAUUCUUCUUUUUUUUUUUAUUUUUUAAUGUGUAGCCCAGGCUGGCCUCGAACUUGUGAUCCUCUUGUCUCUGCCUCCUUCAGCAAAUCCUACCUGUGUGUGCCACAGUUGCCUCCAAGGUUGAAAUAUUUCGUCCUACAGGAAGUUCCCUAGGCAGGAAAGAGUUUUAGGAAGUCCCUGAAACUGACUGGAUUCCCCUGUCUCAGUAAGCAGAAGCUAAGAUUCCCCCACAAAUGGAAAGGUGAUUUGAGCUGCAAAGAAGAUAGUCAGAUGACCCAAACUGCCAAGGAGACUCAGAAAGCUAAGCUGCAAAGAAAACUCACACCAGAGCACCUGCAUAGAAGCAACAGGAACCUGCUGAGCUGCAGGGAAGAGGUUGGACAACUGAGACACCUGGAAGGGCGUUCUCCAACAUGCGGAACUGCCUGCAGACUGUGCAGUGUGCUCUGUGUUCCCAGGUUUGUGAGCUGCUUCCCAUGCUGGGGUGGGCAUUGAUGAUGCACUUGUCUUUGAGUUAUUUCUGCUCCUGUAAGUAACCCCUCACCCAUAUCCCUCUAAGGAA